rnacentral:antisense_RNA from 1 species
CUUGACCGAGCCGAGCAGCAGCGCGCGGUCGCCCGACCGUUCCUGGCCGUACGUGGCCAGCAGCGCCUGCGCCUC